AUAUCAAUAAGCGGAGGAAAAGAAACCAACAAGGAUUGCCUCAGUAACGGCGAGUGAAGCGGCAACAGCUCAAAUUUGAAAUCUGGCUUCUUUGGAGUCCGAGUUGUAAUUUGCAGAGGAUGCUUCGGCGUUGGCGCCACCCAAAGUUCCUUGGAACAGGAUGUCAUAGAGGGUGAGAGCCCCGUAUCCGGGUGGAUGUCUUCACCAUGUGAAGCUCCUUCGACGAGUCGAGUUGUUUGGGAAUGCAGCCCAAAAUGUGAGGUAAAUUUCUUCCAAAGCUAAAUACCGGCUGGA
rnacentral:rRNA from 1 species